CAAAUGACUCACCAAUGCACCAAUAUGCUCCAAGAGUUCUUUGUUUUGUAUAAGUAACUGAUGUGUUCUUGUCUACAAUCAUAAUUUUUAUAUUAUUAUUAUUAUUGUGAAGAUUAAUACAAAAAUGGGCGCAUGACCCUCUGGCUUCAGGGACUCGAGUUUAGUGUGACACACAAAACUGUCCUCGUUACCUACAUAUACGUAGUGCUCCAGACUUGUCACAAUAUUCAAUGAAUAACACAAAUUUUAUUACAAUAAAAAAAUCAAAUAAAUAAUUAUAAAAAUAGUCAUCAAAAAUGAUUGAUAUAAUUAUUUAAUUUCUUUGUACCAGUAUGUUGCUUUGUAUGUCAUUUGAUGAUUAAUCAUUCAAUUAAUUUUUAUUAAAUUGAUGAUACAAAAAUGUCCAGUUGUUUGUUGUUUUUUUUUUUUUUCGUUUCGUAAAUUGAGUUAAUAGAUGAAGAAAGAUCAUCUAAUGUUAACCGGACAUAAACGCGUACUGAAGUACUCUGUUACCCCUUCCAAAGUAAAAUACGAAAAAAAUAAAAAAAAAAUAAAAAAACAGAGGACUAUGGGUGGGCUAUUUUAAUAACUGGCUUAUUUAAAUACACCCGGCACUUUUAACAAACAGCAACACAUUGAAUUAAAUUUAAAUCUCGAUUAAUUUUCAAGCAAUCAUAUAAAUUUAUUUUUUAUUUUUUUCUUCAACUUUUUUUUUAUGAUGAGUCAAAGAAAUAUAAAAUCAUCAAAUUAAUUAUUUAUCCAUUGCUUUGUAUUGCUACUUAAUUUAUUAAAUUUUUUUGUUUCAUUUUAUGAAAACAAGGCAAAUAAUUAUUGGUCCAGACGUGCAUACACUAGACGCAACAAGUCGUGAAGUUAAAUUGUAAUAUUAAUAAACUGCAUAUGACUUUUUGCUAUAUUCGACAAUUUUUUUUUUUUUUUUUGUUUUAUUUAACUUUAAUUUUGGCAACUGCAUUUACCUGAAUCUUGAGCAAGAUAAUUUUUAUUUAUUUUAUUUUUAGGUCGUAUUUAAUUUUGAAUUUUCAAUGAUGAAUAAUUUUUGGAGAAAUUAUAUAUUCUAUUUAAAGUGUAAAUGAAAAUUAUUUGUGAUAAUAAAAUUAAUUAUUUUUACCUUUUUACUUGAUUUAAAGACGUUACAUUUGAAUGAAUU